UUCACGGUGUUGUCUAUGAGGCACAGAGAUGGCCAGACGGUGAGGCUGGCCGUGGGGCCGCUUGUCUGGGACAGAGCCUGUAGCAUAGACCAGGCAGGGGUGCGGUGUGAGAGCAUGCAUCUACACUUGCAGGGAGGGAGGAAGAAUGGAAACUGAAUGUCACCAGAGAAAAUCACACAGAGAACUCGUGCCAAGACUGUCAGCCAACAGAGGCCACCAGGACCCAGGCCAAGAACCCAACCUGCUGUCUAUGUAUGCAAUAUGAUCUGUGCCUGUUGCCCUGACUUCCCAGCAGCAAUGGUCUAUAACCCAAAGCGGUGAAACCGAGUGAACUUUGUCUCCCAUGCUGCUUUUGUCAAGCUGUUUUCAUCACAGCAACAGGCACGUGACUAAGACAGACGGACUCUGGAGAUGGAGCCGGCCAGAUGGGGUUGUAGGGUGGGGCCCUCAGGAUAGUCUGAGGGGCCUUAAAAGAAAAGGGGGAGACCAGGAUGGGCUCUCUCUGACAUUUAAGGAUGCUAUGUUUAGGCUGCACUCUGCCAGCCCGGGGAACAAUCACCCAGCACCUUCAGUUUGGACUUCCUGGCCUCCAGAAGGUUGAGAGAUCAGCGUCUACUGUUCAAGCCACCAGUCUUGGUAUUUUUGUUACUGCAGCCUGCUUAAGUCAAGACAACUAUACAUCCGUUAA